rnacentral:rRNA from 1 species
AGUGAACGCUGGCGGUAGGCCUAACACAUGCAAGUCGAACGGCCGCACAGUAAGAGUUUGCUUUUCCGGGUGGCGACUGGCGGGCGGGUGAGGCAUACAUCGCAAUCUACUUUUUCUUGGGGGAUAACGUAGAGCAACUUACGCUAAUACCGCAUACGUUCUACGGGUGGAAGCAGGGGUUCUUGGCACUUUGCGCGAUUGAUUGAGCCGAUGUCGGAUUAGAUUGUUGGCAGGGUAAAGGCCCGUCAAGGCGACGGUCCAGAGCUGAUCUGAGAGGGUGAUCGGCCACACUGGAACUGAGACACGCUCCAGACUCCUACGGGAGGCAGCAGUCGGGAAUAUUGGACAAUGGGCGCAAGCCUGAUCCAGCCAUACCGUGUGAGUGAAGAAGGCCUUCGGAUUGUAAAACCCUUUUAUUGGGAAAGAAAAGCAGCAGAUUAAAACCCCGCCAUUCUGACGGUACCCAAACAAUAAGCACCGGCUAACUUCGUG